rnacentral:rRNA from 1 species
AACGAACGCUGGCGGCGUGGAUAAGACAUGCAAGUCGAACGAGAUUUUCUUUGGUAGCAAUACCGAAGAAAGUCUAGUGGCGAACGGGUGCGUAACACGUGGGCAAUCUGCCUUAAAGUGGGGGAUAGCUCGGCGAAAGCCGGAUUAAUACCGCAUGUGAUGAGGGGAGACAUUUUCCCAAAAUCAAAGUCGGGGCAACCUGACGCUUUUUGAGGAGCCCGCGGCCUAUCAGCUAGUUGGUGAGGUAACGGCUCACCAAGGCUUUGACGGGUAGCUGGUCUGAGAGGACGACCAGUCACACUGGAACUGAGACACGGUCCAGACACCUACGGGUGGCAGCAGUCGAGAAUUUUUCUCAAUGGGGGAAACCCUGAAGGAGCGACGCCGCGUGGAGGAUGAAGGUCUUCGGGUUGUAAACUCCUGUCAUUUGGGAACAAGUUGGACGCCGUAACUGCGCGUCCAUUGAUAGUACCAGAAGAGGAAGAGACGGCUAACUCUGUGCCAGCAGCCGCCGUAAAAC